CUUUUGUUACAGUGGUGAGGUGACUGGAUCCAAACACCUUUUUCCUUAAUCCAGCAGAUCUAAGCAGGUACUAUUCAUUUUAUAUAUAGAUGGACCUGUGGGCGGUAAGCUGGGAAUUAUCCACGGGUCUAGUGGACGUGAAUCGAUACUGCACCUCUCGGGUUAGGAGUUCACUGGCUUUCUGCAUCUUCCAAGGUGGUGGUGUGACCGUGUGGUCAUUCUUGGAAUUGCGAGCACAACACAAUAAAUGAAGAGUUUUGUGUUAAGGGAAGAAUUUCCCCAAAAGCAUCUGGUCAUGAAUUUUCUCCCUAUACCAAUCUAAAUUCCACCGCAAUCCUCUUCAUCAUCUAUAUAAAAACUUUUACCUUCCGAAAACACUACAGACGGAGGGAAAGGCUUUUAUCAAAGUCGACCUCCAACUUCCCUUGGGGCGAAAAGGUGUCGAGGCGUCGCGGAAGGCGGAUUAAGAACGGCCACUAAAAAAGGAAAAAGAAAGGGCAAAUGGAAUAGCACGGAUGCGGAAAAGAUACAUUGACAGGGGAACAUACAGGAAAGCAGUAAUCCCAAGAAAAGAGAAAAGGGGAUUUCCCGGGACCUAAUCUUCGCGUUUGUUCACAUGGAAGAUCCGCCUGUGGUCUGGCAAUAAGAAAAAGGGGUGCAAGCAAGGCUCGAGUCUCCGUCUCUCAGUGAUGAAAGUGAAGGAUAGAAAAUAGUAGAAAUGCAGAGAGAGAGAGAGAGAGAGAGAGAGAGAGAGAGAGAGAGAGAGAGAGAUCCUGAGUAUUUCAAAAGCAAAUGUCUGUUUUCUAACUGAUACGUUUAUAUGCAUAUUCUUUUGAUUUUCAAACUUGACUCGUUAAGGGAAAUGAGAAACGUGAAUAUGAAAGACUCGAAUUCAUAGAACUUUGGGCCCUAGAAUAAUUUACAGAGGUUCAUGUUUGCGUGGUUGCAGUGGUCCGCGAUAGGAUCAUCAGCCUGUAUCAAUAAGUUCCCGGUAUAAGUAGCUUCGAUGGAAAUAACAUUCGUCAUUACGCGUUACUUGACGUCUAUUGACAACUUAAUUAUACGGAAUUUCGCAUCCCUUAGGAUUUCGUUCAAAUCAAUGUUAAGACAGAGAGGACACGAAGGAAAUGAGAGGAAAGUUCCAUUUCCUCCAAUAUCAGCUGUUGGCAUUUCAGCUGAAUCCUCCAACCUCGUCCUACGAAGAGGGGACAUUUGCUUUUAACCACCAUCCUUCAAAUAAUAUGUAUCUUGGAGGAUACUGGGAAGACCUUGCUUCUAACUCAAAUACUCAAUGUCCUCCCAAGUUCCUAACCCAGUUCGCAAGAUUUCGACCAACUCGUAGUACCUACACCACGUCACCCUAGUUUUGUCACUUUUGUGUUGCUGUUAACCGGAAUUAUAAUGUUGCCGGAUUUUACGGCGAGUUGGUUUCGUACCGAUUGAUCCAGUGGUGCAAGAUCACCGAGAUAACAGGUUACUUUAAUUUGGUCAAAGGACGCACUUGUGAACUCAAGAACUCAAUAUUGCCCAUCUACCGCAUAAACUGUAAUCUUACUGAUCGGGUUACUACUACCUAUGGUGUCCAUUUUUUCUGGGAAUGUCUUGAGUUUGUUUGUUGGUGUUCGGAAGGAGACGACCAGCCAACGUUAGCGUGUUGUCUCAGAUGUCAAAUUGCUGGAAAAUUGUAGGCCUAGUAUAUAGCCUAAGAUUGCUACCUAAUGAGAGCCUUCAUCAGACUUCUACAUUUGCUGCAGUAGGCGACAAUGAAUUAUUCACUACUAGGAGAGGUCAAAAGAAUCGUUAUCCAGGAAUGAGAUUGGGGCUGGGGACGAACGUAAGCGGGAAGAAAUUGCAGAUAUAUUUGAGAAUUCAGCUCCUGAGAGACCCGAGAGGUUUCCCACUUCCGCGGUUGUGCUAAAGAAGAUAUGCCAGGGCGUUUAACCUCUCACGGCGGAGAUCAUUAACAGUUUGGUGGUGACAUUAGGACAAGUGACAACGAGGAAUUAACAUGUUAACUCCACCUAAAAGGGGAUGGGGAAAAGAUAAAGAAACACCACUCCACGAAUCAAGAAUCCAGUUGGGCGGAGAACCAAGAUCUACACCGCCUAAGGAGGUGGUGCCGAAUUUGAACCGAGGGUGGCUCAAGUUGAGAUUGACAGAAGAAGCCAGAGAGGACUGGCAGCCGUCGUUGAGUACAGAAGCAGAAAUAUUGCCAGAGUCCAACAACAGAUUUAUAAGUUUUGUAUUUUUGCUGUACAUACUCUGAUUAUUCUCUCUCCUUCUCUUUCUCUUUCUCUUUAACAUUAUUUUCACUGUACUUUGAAUAUUCUAUCUCUCUGUUUUUACGCUACCCUAUCUACUAUUAUUUCUUAUAGCUAUCAUUACAGAUUUAUAUACAAUUAAUAUAAAUUAAUAGAUCAGUUAAAAUAAACAAAUGCGAUGAAGAAAGUAAUUACGUUCAUAAUGAGUUGUGGAGAAGAAGAAAAUAAGUGUCAGUGAACACAGCAACAACAAAAAAGUUUUCAAAAUGUUAAAACCACGAGACUUGCUAAGUGACAGUAAUGCCAAAGAAAUUGAUCAUCGCAGUUUGUGUUCAACUUGUCAUGAAUACUUCGCUGACCAACAAAGACCUUU